rnacentral:lncRNA from 1 species
CCAACAAAGAAACAACCCACUAUUGACCCCACUAUCAAGCAAAACCUCCCCACCCCAACACACAUUACUAAAUGACUAUAUAAACUGUUACUCCUCGCAUACCUCAAACGAUACCCUUCAGAGAAUGUACUUAUACUAACACAGCAGGGAACCCCCCCCCCCCACCUAUAUGCACCACCCAAAUAGCUCAAGUUAAUGUAGCUUAACUUUAAAGCAAGACACUGAAAAUGUCUAGACGGGUAAUCAUAACCCCAUAAACACAUAGGUUUGGUCCUAGCCUUUCUAUUAGCCCUCAGUGAUAUUACACAUGCAAGCAUCCACGACCCUGUGAGAAUGCCCUCCACCAAAAUGUGAGGAGCAAGUAUCAAGCACGCAAACAUGCAGCUCAAGACACUUUGCUUAGCCACACCCCCACGGGAAACAGCAGUGACAAACUUUUAGCAAUGAACGAAAGUUUAACUAAGUUACACUGACAAUCAGAGUUGGUCAAUUUCGUGCCAGCCACCGCGGCCAUACGAUUGACUCAAGUUAAUAGAGCCUGGCGUAAAGAGUGUUUAAGACUUAAGAUCAAAUUAUUUAAUUUCUUCUUUUUUUUUUUUGAGAUGGAGUUUGCUCUUGUCCCCCAGGCUGGAUCGUUGCCCAGGCUGGCGUGCAGUGCAGCUCACUGCAACCUCCACCUCCCAAGUUCAAGUGAUUCCCCUGCCUCAGCCUCCUGAGUAGCUGGGACUACAGGUACGCACCACCAUGCCCAGCUAAUUUUUUGUAUUAUUAGUAGAAAUGGGAUAUCGCCAGGUUGGGCAGGCUGGUCUCGAACUCCUGAUCUCAGGUGAUCUGCCUGCCUCAGCGUCCCAAAGUGCUGGGAUUACAGGUGUGAGCCACCAUGCUCAGCCAAUUUAAUCUCUUCUACCUAAUUAUUUGCUUUUGAAAAUUUACCAGUUCUCCUUAGUCUCAUUUCUUCUAGCUGUCCUGGAAAGACCUUUCAAUAACUCAGAGAAAAUCAUCAGGCCCAUAUCCUCCCCCACAAAUAACAAAUUAAGAUUUCAGAAUUAGCACUUGGUAAUUUACUUGAAUUUUUGGUUCCUUUUUAAAAUUUAUUCAUUUAUUCAUUCAUUCGAGAUGAAGUCUCUUUGUCAC